CGGGGUGCAGCAGGCGCGAAACCUUUACAAUGCACGAAAGUGUGAUAGGGGGAUACUCAGUGCUUACGGCUCUGCUGUAGGCUUUUGUCGAUCGUAAAUAGAUCGGCGAAUAAGUGGUGGGUAAGACCGGUGCCAGCCGCCGCGGUAACCCCGGCGCCACAAGUGGUCAUCGCGAUUAUUGGGCCUAAAGCGUUCGUAGCCGGUUCGGUAAAUCUCUUGUGAAAUUGUUCGGCUUAACCGGACAGCGUGCAGGAGACACUGCCGAUCUCGAGACCGGGAGGCGUAAGAAGUAUGUCAUGGGGACUGGUAAAAUGGGAUAAUCCAUGAUAGACUACCGAUGGCGAAGGCAUCUUACGAGAACGGAUCUGACGGUGAGGAACGAAAGCCAGGGGAGCGAACCGGAUUAGAUACCCGAGUAGUCCUGGCCGUAAACGCUGUGUGCUAGGUGCUGCGUAUCUCAUGAAGAUGCGCGGUGUCGAAACGAAGGUGCUAAGCACACCGCCUGGGAAGUACGGUCGCAAGACUGAAACUUUAAGGAAUUGGCGGGGGAGCACAAGGGCGAAUCGC
rnacentral:rRNA from 1 species